rnacentral:rRNA from 1 species
GACGAACGCUGGCGGCGUGCUUAACACAUGCAAGUCGAACGGAAAGGCCCUGCUUUUGUGGGGUGCUCGAGUGGCGAACGGGUGAGUAACACGUGAGUAACCUGCCCUUGACUUUGGGAUAACUUCAGGAAACUGGGGCUAAUACCGGAUAGGAGCUCCUGCUGCAUGGUGGGGGUUGGAAAGUUUCGGCGGUUGGGGAUGGACUCGCGGCUUAUCAGCUUGUUGGUGGGGUAGUGGCUUACCAAGGCUUUGACGGGUAGCCGGCCUGAGAGGGUGACCGGCGACAUUGGGACUAAGGUACGGCCCAGACUCCUACGGGAGGCAACAGUGGGAAAUAUUGCACAAUGGGCGGGAGCCUGAUGCAGCAGCGCCGCGUGCGGGAUGACGGCCUUCGGGUUGUAAACCGCUUUCGCCUGUGACGAAGCGUGAGUGACGGUAAUGGGUAAAGAAGCACCGGCUAACUACGUG